rnacentral:rRNA from 1 species
GAUGAACGCUGGCUGUGUGCCUAAUACAUGCAUGUCGAGCGGAAGUAGCAAUACUUUAGCGGCGAAUGGGUGAGUAACACGUGCUUAAUCUACCUCUUAGAUUGGAAUACCUAAUGGAAACAUUGGUUAAUGCCGGAUACGCAUGGAGUCGCAUGACUCCGUUGUGAAAGGGGCCUUUAAAGCUCCACUAAGAGAUGAGGGUGCGGAACAUUAGCUAGUUGGUGAGGUAACGGCCCACCAAGGCUAUGAUGUUUAGCCGGGUCGAGAGACUGAACGGCCACAUUGGGACUGAGAUACGGCCCAAACUCCUACGGGAGGCAGCAGUAGGGAAUAUUCCACAAUGAGCGAAAGCUUGAUGGAGCGACACAGCGUGCACGAUGAAGGUCUUAUGGAUUGUAAAGUGCUGUUGCAAGGGAAGAAAAAGUAGUUGAGGAAAUGCUUCUACAUUGACGGUACCUUGUUAGAAAGCGAUGGCUAACUAUGUGCCAGCAGCCGCGGUAAUACAUAGGUCGCAAGCGUUAUCCGGAAUUAUUGGGCGUAAAGCGUUCGUAGGCUGUUUAUUAAGUCUGGAGUCAAAUCCCAGGGCUCAACCCUGGCUCGCUUUGGAUACUGGUAAACUAGAGUUGGAUAGAGGUAAGCGGAAUUCCAUGUGAAGCGGUGAAAUGCGUAGAUAUAUGGAAGAACACCAAAGGCGAAGGCAGCUUACUGGGUUUAUACUGACGCUGAGGAACGAAAGCGUGGGGGGCAAACAGG